rnacentral:rRNA from 1 species
AUUGAACGCUGGCGGCAUGCCUUACACAUGCAAGUCGAACGGCAGCACGGGAGCAAUCCUGGUGGCGAGUGGCGAACGGGUGAGUAAUAUAUCGGAACGUGCCCAGUCGUGGGGGAUAACGUAGCGAAAGCUACGCUAAUACCGCAUACGAUCUAUGGAUGAAAGCGGGGGAUCGCAAGACCUCGCGCGAUUGGAGCGGCCGAUAUCAGAUUAGGUAGUUGGUGAGGUAAAGGCUCACCAAGCCGACGAUCUGUAGCUGGUCUGAGAGGAUGAUCAGCCACACUGGGACUGAGACACGGCCCAGACUCCUACGGGAGGCAGCAGUGGGGAAUAUUGGACAAUGGGCGAAAGCCUGAUCCAGCAAUGCCGCGUGAGUGAUGAAGGCC